GAAAAUUGCAGAAAUGGGGGCUCCUUUGAGGACAAAGAAAGCAUUUCGGAUCAUCUUUUCUCUCAGUGAAGCAGCCAUCCUUUGGACUGAAGGGAGCUCCUAAUUCUUCUCUUUUC
rnacentral:pre_miRNA from 1 species